UCCUCUCCUCUCCUCUCCUCUCCUCUCCUCUCCUCUCCCUCCACUCCACUCCACUCCACUCCACUCCACUCCACUCCACCUCACUCCUCUCCACUCCAGUUCCUUUAUUUCCAUUUCAUUUUCCGCCACUCCAUUUCAUUUCGGUUUUCUCCACUCCACGUCAUCUGAUGGUCUUCCACUUUACUCCAUCCCAUUUCCCACCCCUCCACUCCUUUUCAUUCCCCUCUUCUCCUCAAUUUAUUUUUCUCCACUCUGCUUCAUUUCAUUGAACUCUAUUCAGUUUAUUUCAUUUCCCACCAUGCCACUCCAUUUCUUUUCCCACCGCUACAUGCAGUUUUUGUCCACUGCACUCCAUAAAAUUUAGCCCCCUCAACUCCACUGUUUCAUUUUCCCCAGUCCUCGUCAAAUAAUAUUUUUCCUCUCCUCUCCUCUCCUCUCCUCUCCUCUCCUCUCCUCUCCUCUCCUCUCCCUCCUCCCUCUCCUCUCCUCUCCUCUCCUCUCCUCUCCCUCCUCCCUCUCCUCUCCUCUCCCUCUCCUCUCCUCUCCUCUCCUCUCCACUCCACUCCACUCCACUCCACUCCACUCCACUCCACUCCACUCCACUCCACUCCACUCCACUCCACUCCACCUCACUCCUCUCCACUCCUGUUCCUUUAUUUCCAUUUCAUUUCCGCCACUCCAUUUCAUUUCGGUUUUCUCCAGUCCUCUUCAUCUGAUGGUCUUCCACUUUACUCCAUCCCAUUUCCCACCCCUCCACUCCUUUUCAUUCCCCUCUUUCCUCACAAUUUAUUUUCCUCCACUCUGCUUCAUUUCAUUGAACUCU
rnacentral:lncRNA from 7 species